CCGGCGACCGGCAGACGGGUGCGUAACGCGUAUGUAACCUACCUUUGACAGGGGGAUAACAUCGAGAAAUUGGUACUAAUACCCCAUAACAUCACCGGAGGCAUCUUCGGUGGUUGAAAACUCAGGUGGUCAGAGAUGGACAUGCGUUGUAUUAGCUAGUUGGUGAGGUAACGGCUCACCAAGGCGACGAUACAUAGGGGGACUGAGAGGUCAACCCCCCACAUUGGUACUGAGACACGGACCAAACUCCUACGGGAGGCAGCAG
rnacentral:rRNA from 1 species